UACGUAGGGUGCGAGCGUUAAUCGGAAUUACUGGGCGUAAAGCGUGCGCAGGCGGUUUUGUAAGCCAGGUGUGAAAUCCCCGGGCUCAACCUGGGAAUGGCAUUUGGGACUGCAAGGCUGGAGUGCGGCAGAGGAGACUGGAAUUCCUGGUGUAGCAGUGAAAUGCGUAGAUAUCAGGAGGAACACCGAUGGCGAAGGCAGGUCGCUGGGACGGUACUGACGCUGAGACGCGAAAGCGUGGGGAGCAAACAGG
rnacentral:rRNA from 1 species